UACAGAGGUCUCGAGCGUUAGGCGGAAUCACUGAGCUUAAAGCGUGUGUAGGCGGAUCGUUAAGUGCCUUGUGAAAUCCCACGGCUCAACCGUGGAACUGCUUGGCAUACUGGCGGUCUUGAGCAACCUAGGGGCGAGCGGAACAAAUGGUGGAGCGGUGAAAUGCGUAGAUAUCAUUUGGAACGCCAAUGGUGAAAACAGCUCGCUGGGGGUUUGCUGACGCUGAGACACGAAAGCCAGGGGAGCAAACGGG
rnacentral:rRNA from 1 species